AUUCCAGCUCCAAUAGCGUAUAUUAAAGUUGUUGCGGUUAAAAAGCUCGUAGUUGGAUCUCGGCAGGUAGGGGGCGGUUCGUUUCUGACGGCACUGCCCCAUUUACCUGUGUUUUUGCAAGAGGUCUCAAGGUGGCUUUAAUCGGCUGUCUUGGAACGCUUGCAGUUUUACUUUGAAAAAAUUAGAGUGCUCAAAGCAGGCUACAAAGCUUGAAUAUUUGUGCAUGGAAUAAUGGAAUAGGAAGUCGUUUCUAUUUUUUUGGUUUUCGGAAAUUGACUUAAUGAUUAAUAGGGACAGCCGGGGGCAUUAGUACUCAGACGACAGAGGUGAAAUUCUUGGACCGUUUGAGGACUAACUACUGCGAAAGCAUUUGCCAAGAGUGUUUUCAUUAAUCAAGAACGAAAGUUAGAGGUUCGAAGGCGAUCAGAUACCGCCCUAGUUCUAACCAUAAACAAUGCUGACUAGCGAUCCGUAGCUGUUUUCUAUGUAGGCUCUACGGGAAGCUUCCGGGAAACCAAAGUUUUUGAGUUCCGGGGGAAGUAUGGUUGCAAAGCUGAAACUUAAAGGAAUUGACGGAAGGGCACCACCAGGAGUGGAGCCUGCGGCUUAAUUUGACUCAACACGGGAAAUCUCACCAGGCCCGGACACUGGAAGGAUUGACAGAUUGAGAGCUC
rnacentral:rRNA from 1 species